UGCCGUGUCUGAAGAGGAACUGUUUCCUU
rnacentral:piRNA from 1 species